AGCUUCAAUCUCCGUGUGCUUUUUUUUUUAUCAGGUUUGGCGAAAGAGAAGAUUGGUGGAUUUAGAAAUUGUCACCACAUAUGAAACGAAGAACCCUAAAAUCAAAGGAAUUGGAAAUUGAUAGUCACAGAAACUUCUCUCAACUCGCUAAUUCUCUCCGCCGUUCAGUCAUCAUUUCACCGUUGAUGACUCCUCCUUCAAUUGGUAAACCCUAUGAAUCUUGUGUCCAGGAACAAAAAGAUACAAGUUAUUUCAAUCUUGAAGGGUCAUUGCCAAGACCUUCUUGCUUCCAUGCAGGAAGCUGAUAUUGCUUGUCCUAGUAUCGUGCCGGUGCAUAAAUUCGAUGUUAAGAAUGAGUAUGAGAUGAUUUAAAACUAUAAGGUUCUUCACUAUCAUGCUACAAAUCCUUAAGUCUUUUGUUUUGUUCUUCAAAAUACAUGACAAACAUCUGGAACAUUUGAGUCAAUUGACAGUGCUUUUGGGGUUUGUAAUGAUAUUAGUGUCAUAUCGAUUUACAGGAACAACAUCUAGAACAUUUGAGUCAAUUGACACAAAAUGAAGACAGUCGAAGAAGAUGAUGAAAUUAAGAUGCACAUCAUUGCCACUAUUUCAGUACUUGUACCAAAAUAUCUUGCUUAUGCUAGAUUGGUAUAAUUGAAUCUUUUAGCAUCUAUAUAUGGUUUUUUUACAAUUGAUAUGCAAUCAUUUACAUAGGUUGUAGGUAGGUGAAUUUCUAUUAAACUGGUGUAUUUAAAGUUUUCCUAGAUUCAUAGGCAUAUUGGUCCAAGGAUGCAGUACGAGUUAUACUAAUGACAUUAUUUUUGUCGCAUUUCUAAGUUAUUAAUUGUAUAAAUACAAUUGUGUUCUUGGCUUUCUUUUA